rnacentral:lncRNA from 1 species
ACUAUAAUAAUAAAAAUUUUGAUUUAAAACUUUUACUUUUACUGUAACCAAAACAAUAUGAAAAUUUUAAUCAAAUUUCCUAUUACCAACUAUAUAUAUACAUAUGAGUAGUAGAGCUACUAUACUAUCAGAAGUAUAGAGAAUCUGGUACUUUCGAUAUUUUAGCCCUUAAAUCAACCACUUUAAUCAUUUCUAACAUUUGGAUUAAUACAAUUAUCAUAUGAGGACCACUCAAUUCUAGAAGGGACUAUAAUCAUUUCAACCAUAGAAUUCUUUAAUUCAAAAGUCAAAAAGUCGAAACUAUCAAAUUCUCUGCAUUUCCGAUAGCAUAGUAACUCUAUAUUAUAUAUAUAGUCCUUUCACGGACAAUCCUAAUUA